rnacentral:SRP_RNA from 1 species
GCCGGGCGUGGUAGCGCACGCCUGUAAUCCCAGCACUUGGGAGGCUGAGGCAGGAGGAUCGCUAUGAGUUUGGAGACCAGCCUGGGCUACAUAGUUCCAGGUCAGUCUUAACUACAUAGUGAGACCCUGUCUCAA